rnacentral:misc_RNA from 1 species
GAUGUAUACACCUUAUGAACUUUGGUAAAACACACUAAAUAUAAUUGCUAUUGACCAUCAUGGAUAGAAGAGACACUUACAGAAUCCAGUAGAAAGCUGUAUCAGAUUAUAUUUCAACUGUGUAUAACACAGCAAACUUUCAAAUCUACAUAUAUAUUCAAGUAUAAUAUCUGUGUUUUCAUCUUCAAUUACUCAGAUUUGUAUUCAUCGUCAAUUACUGAAUCAAGGCGCCAUUCACUUCCAUAAUAGGAGUUGGGCAAUCCCAACCAGAACUUGAAUGCUUCAGCUGCUCGUUUUCGUUCCUUUCUCCUGUCCUGUCUAGCUCUUGACGCGUGCUUACUAGUAAACAUCCUUGAAUGCAUCUCGACGUAGAUCCUAGUAAACUUGGUCUUAUUUGGUGGUAUCCCGUGUUGCUCCAUGCAAGCAACGAUCUCCAACGCUUUCCUAAAGAAAGCUGCUCGGACACAUAUGUCUGCUAAUGUAUCCAACAGUCCUUCAUCAGGUUCCAAUGGCGGGAGGAGGCCUGAAGACGGAGUAGACUCCUCUCCAUUUCCCAUUCCACACCUCUGUUUUAUCUCAUUCCAAAGCAAGAGUGCUUCUCCCGGCUUCCUAGCCAAAGCUAUUCCAUUUGCAAGACUGCCAUAAGUGGCUACGUUUGGGUAGAAUCCGUUUUCUUUCAUCCUCUCGAUCACACUCUUUGCUUCCUCAACCUUUCCUAGCUUAGAGUAUGCAUCUAACAGCAUAUUCCAAGCAACCAAAUCAACCUUCACUCGAGGGUCUUUAAGCAUCUCGUCAAACACCUUGUUAGCUAGCUUAGCCUGACCAGAUGAGGCAAAAGCUUUCAUCAAAGUGGUGUAACUUACUUUGGUUGGAGCAAUACCUCUCGCUCUCAUAUCGUUGAAGUAGGAAAGAGCUCCUGCACUGUCAUCUACCAAUAUACAUCCAUCAAUGAUUGUGUUAUAAGAAACCACAUCAGGCUCUAUUCCAGUAUCAAUCAUCUCUUUAAUCAGCUCUUCUGCCCUGUCAAUAUGCAGCUGUUGACAAUAUCCUUUGAUCAAAACAUUGUAAGUUACUCUAUUAGCAGGGACACCA